rnacentral:rRNA from 1 species
AUUGAACGCUGGCGGCGUGCCUAACACAUGCAAGUCGAGCGGCAGCGCGGGAGCAAUCCUGGCGGCGAGCGGCGAACGGGUGAGUAAUGCUUCGGAAUCUGCCCAUGUCGUGGGGAAUAACCAGUCGAAAGAUUGGCUAAUACCGCAUACGUCCUAUGGGAGAAAGCGGGGGAUCGCAAGACCUCGCGCGAUUGGAUGAGCCGAAGUCGGAUUAGCUAGUUGGUGAGGUAACGGCUCACCAAGGCGACGAUCCGUAGCUGGUCUGAGAGGACGACCAGCCACACUGGGACUGAGACACGGCCCAGACUCAUACGGGAGGCAGCAGUGAGGAAUAUUGGUCAAUGGGCGCAAGCCUGAACCAGCAAUGCCGCGUAUGGGAUGACGGCGCUUUGCGUUGUAAACCACUGUCGGACGGGACGAAAGGGAGCCUUUGGCUCCUGGGACGGUACCGUCAAAGGAAGGGUCGGCUAACUACGUGCCAGCAGCCGCCGUAACAC